rnacentral:rRNA from 1 species
GGGAAUUCCCGGUGUAGCGGUGAAAUGCGUAGAUAUCGGGAAGAACACCAGUGGCGAAGGCGCUCUGCUGGGCCAUUACUGACGCUCAUGGACGAAAGCCAGGGGAGCGAAAGGGAUUAGAUACCCCUGUAGUCCUGGCCGUAAACGAUGAACACUAGGUGUCGGGGGAAUCGACCCCUUCGGUGUCGUAGCUAACGCGUUAAGUGUUCCGCCUGGGGAGUACGCACGCAAGUGUGAAACUCAAAGGAAUUGACGGGGGCCCGCACAAGCGGUGGAGUAUGUGGUUUAAUUCGAUGCAACGCGAAGAACCUUACCAGGGUUUGACAUCCUGCGAACCUCUUAGAAAUUUGAGGGUGCCUUCGGGAAUGCAGUGACAGGUGGUGCAUGGCUGUCGUCAGCUCGUGUCGUGAGAUGUUGGGUUAAGUCCCGCAACGAGCGCAACCCACGUUUUUAGUUGCCAGCAUUUAGUUGGGCACUCUAGAAAGACCGCCGGUGAUAAACCGGAGGAAGGUGUGGAUGACGUCAAGUCAUCAUGCCCCUUACACCCUGGGCUACACACGUACUACAAUGCUACGGACAAAGGGCAGCAAACUCGCGAGAGCUAGCAAAUCCCAUAAACCGUGGCUCAGUUCAGAUCGUAGGCUGCAACUCGCCUACGUGAAGUAGGAAUCGCUAGUAAUCGCAGGUCAGCAUACUGCGGUGAAUACGUUCCCGGGCCUUGUACACACCGCCCGUCACACCUAUGGUAUAGUUGGCCUAUGCCCGUAAGUCGUUACUCCA